rnacentral:rRNA from 1 species
GACGAACGCUGGCGGCGUGCUUAACACAUGCAAGUCGAACGGAAAGGCCCUGCUUGCAGGGUACUCGAGUGUCGAACGGGUGAGUAACACGUGGGUGAUCUGCCCUGCACUUCGGGAUAAGCCUUGGAAACUGGGUCUAAUACCGGAUAGGAGCCAUCUUUAGUGUGAUGGUUGGAAAGUUUUUUCGGUGUAGGAUGAGCUCGCGGCCUAUCAGCUUGUUGGUGGGGUAAUGGCCUACCAACGCGGCGAAGGGUAGCCGGCCUGAGAGGGGGGACGGCCACAAUGGGGAUGAGAAAACGCCCAGAAUUCUACGGGAGGCAGCAGUGGGGAAUAUUGCACCAUGGGGGGAAGCCUGAUGCAGGGACGGCGCGUGGGGGAUGACGGCCUUCGGGUUGUAAAAUCCUUUCGCUAGGGAAGAAGCUUUUUGUGACGGUAACUAGAUAAGAAGCACCGGCUAACUACGUG